CACGUAGGGUGCGAGCGUUGUCCGGAAUUAUUGGGCGUAAAGCGCACGUAGGCGGCGCGUUAAGUCGGAUGUGAAAGCCCUCGGCUCAACUGAGGAAGUGCAUUCGAAAACUGGCGUGCUUGAGGACUGGAGAGGAGACUGGAAUUUACGGUGUAGCAGUGAAAAUGCGUAGAGAUCGUAAGGAAGACCAGUGGCGAAGGCGG
rnacentral:rRNA from 1 species